ACUAGAGGCUCUCAAGAGCCUGUGUCGCUCACCUGUAUUUACUGAUGCUUUGGAAAUCAUGUAAAAUAAGGUUAAAAUCAUAAUUAAUAGUAUUAGAUAUUAGAUAUUAUAAUGAUAUCUAAGAUAAUAACAAACUAGAGGCUCUCAAGAGCCUGUGUCGCUCACCUGUAUUUACUGAUGCUUUGGAAAUCAUGUAGAAUAAGGUUAAAAUCAUAAUUAAUAGUACAUGUAUUAGAUAUUAGAUAUUAUAAUGAUAUCUAAGAUAAUAACAAAAAACUGCAAAAUUUUUGUAAAAUUACUAACUCAGGGGCAGCAACCCAACAACGGGUUGUCAGAUUUGUCUGAAAAUUUCAGGGCAGAUAGAUCUUAACCUGAUAAUCAGUUUUACCCUGUGUCAGAUUUACUCUAAAUGCUUUGGCUUCAGAGAUAUAAGCCAAAAUCUACAUUUUACCCCUAUGUUCAAUUUUUAGCCAUGGUGGCCAUCUUGGUUGGUUGGCAGGGUCAUCGGACACAUUUUUUAAACUAGAUACCCUAAUGAUGAUUGUGGCCAAGUUUGGUUAAAUUUGGCCAGUGGUUUCAGAGGAGAAGAUUUUUGUAAAAAGCUAACGAC